rnacentral:snoRNA from 1 species
UAAGAAGGUGAUACGAAUGCCUUCUAUUCACUGUGCCAUCUUGUUAGUCGUAGAUGAUCAGAGGGGAAAAGAACGGCUAGAAUAAUGUAAAUUUAUAACUUAUACUCAUGAGCGUCCUCAUACUGUCCGGGGUAAUUUGUGGUAGUAAAAUACCCUUCCCAUGGCUCUGGUCGGUAACUGCGCAAGUGAGACAACU